CCCUUAGAUGUUCUGGGCCGCACGCGCGCUACACUGACGAAUGCAACGAGCUUAUAACCUUGGUCGAAAGGUCUGGGUAAUCUCCAAAUUUCGUCGUGAUGGGGAUAGAUUAUUGCAAUUAUUAAUCUUCAACGAGGAAUGCCUAGUAAGCGCAAGUCAUCAGCUUGCGUUGAUUACGUCCCUGCCCUUUGUACACACCGCCCGUCGCUCCUACCGAUUGAAUGGUCCGGUGAAGCGUUCGGACCGUGGCCUUUGGACGGUUCGCCGUCUGUUGGCUGCGGGAAGUUCGUUAAACCUUAUCAUUUAGAGGAAGGAGAANUCGUAACA
rnacentral:rRNA from 1 species